rnacentral:lncRNA from 1 species
UGACUACAUACAAGGAAAAAUAGAACAUUUGUUGACUUACAAAUGCUAUAUUUAUUGAGUCAGGUGCAUCCUCAAACAUUUAGGGUGAAGAGAUUUUAAUUGCUUGUCACUUUUUAAAUAAGGUGCCACAUGAAAACACUACAAUUACGCUAUUUGCCUUGUGGAAGGGGUAUAUGCCAAAUUUGGGAUACUUUAAAGUAUGAGGU